UAUAAUGAUUUUUUGAUUCGGCAAACGUUUUUNNNNNNNNNNAAAAAAAAAAAUGGAAGCAAUGAUAAAAGAAAUAUUAUAUAUAACUUUUAUAUAACCUACGACAAACUGUUUACUUUUGUCGGAUCACUAGAUAAUAACCUUUCUAUUCUUAAAUCAUUUGAUAAAAAGUUUAUCAAAAUAAUAUUAAAAAAGGAAAACACCUUUUUUAUUAUACUAAAUGACAUAAUAUGCGUAAAAAUAGUUGCUGAUGGAUUAAGCUUAAAAGUGAAAAGGAUAACAGCCUUGCAAAAUAUUUCGAUAAAUUUUAAUUAUUAUACUUAUUUUAUCAAGUGUGUGUGCAGAAACAAUUUCUUAUUUCUGUUAACUCUCACACCUCAACAAUAUUUGAUAAUUUUUAAGAAAGGAAUUCCUUAUUUGGCCAUUAAUAUCAAUGAGCAUGUACUCACGUUCUUUACCAAUUUUGAAGUUAACCAUGAUUCGUCAAAAGUGUUGCUAAUUGAUUUUCGCAACCAAGUUUGGUUUUUUGAUUUGAAAAUGUAAGUGAAAAAGAAGAAAAAAAUAUUAGAUGU
rnacentral:lncRNA from 1 species